GGCUCAGCGGCCAUGGCUCACGGGCCCAGCCGCUCCGCGGCAUGUGGGAUCUUCCCGGACCAGGGCACGAACCCCUGUCCCCUAUAUCGGCAGGCGGACUCUCAACCACUGCGGCACCAGGGAAGCCCUAAGGGACCCCAAGAGAGGAGGAGAGGGCUGUGUCUCUGGAAACUUUACUAGGCAAAAAAUGGUAUUACAGUUGGAAAUGCAGCUGACCCAAAGCAAGAAACUUCAAGAGCUGGGAGAAGGUCACAGAAAGGUCAAGAGGAAGGAAGGUGGGGGAUGAAGGGGCUCAGAUGGAAUAUUUCAGGCACUCUGAUAAUGACUGACUCUGGUUUGAACUGUCAUGUUGUCCCAGAAAGGAAGGCAAAUCAAUGCUGGGAGGCUCCUUAUCAGGAGAGCAGUAUCUAUGUGUGAGGGCCCUGAGGCCUGCUGAGAAAGUCCAAGUAAAGACUUGGAGGUACGCUGCCCACUCCAUCUCAGAAGGAAACGUGGACUCCGUCAGAGUGUGGUGGAGCAAAGGAGGUGCACUAAGGACCCAGACAUCUGGGUCUGGAUGGGGGCUUCACCGCUUUCUACC